rnacentral:rRNA from 1 species
AGAACCUUGCUACUUGGGUGACGAGCGGCGGACGGGUGAGUAACGCGUAGGAAUCUACCUAAUGGUGGGGGAUAGCCCAGGGAAACUUGGAUUAAUACCGCAUAAGUCCUAAGGGAGAAAGCGGGGGAUCUUCGGACCUCGUGCCAUUAGAUGAGCCUGCGUAAGAUUAGCUAGUUGGUGAGGUAAGAGCUCACCAAGGCGACGAUCUUUAGCUGGUCUGAGAGGAUGAUCAGCCACACUGGGACUGAGACACGGCCCAGACUCCUACGGGAGGCAGCAGUGGGGAAUAUUGCACAAUGGGCGCAAGCCUGAUCCAGCCAUGCCGCGUGUGUGAAGAAGGCCUUCGGGUUGUAAAGCACUUUCAGUCAGGAGGAAAGGUUAGUAGUUAAUACCUGCUAGCUGUGACGUUACUGACAGAAGAAGCACCGGCUAAAUCCGUGCCAGCAGCCGCGGUAAUACGGAUGGUGCGAGCGUUAAUCGGAAUUACUGGGCGUAAAGCGCGCGUAGGCGGCUAAGUCAGUCAGAAGUGAAAGCCCCGGGCUCAACCUGGGAAUUGCUUUUGAUACUGCUUAGCUAGAGUUUGGUAGAGGAUAGUGGAAUUCCAGGUGUAGCGGUGAAAUGCGUAGAUAUCUGGAGGAACAUCAGUGGCGAAGGCGACUGUCUGGACCAAAACUGACGCUGAGGUGCGAAAG